AGGUGCUUCAGGCCGUGGCCAAACAUGGAGCCCUCUGAGAGCUGCUGGAUUUUCUUAAGGGGGAAGAGAUGAAAAGCCCUGGUUAAUGGAAAGCUCCUGGAUGCCUUGUCAAUCGGGGUUGAAGACUAGAGCCAAGCUGAAUCCUUGAAGCCUGCUGCUGCCUCUCUGCGGCGCUGCCCCGAGACGCCACCUGCUUCCUCCAAGCCCCAGCGCUACCAGGAUAAAUGGCUGGUGGCAACUGCCAUGUAACGAAACAAACAGAGCAAAAGUUUGAGCAUGAAGAAAGCAGGGAAGAAAAGUCUCCAGCUUUUGAGUGGCUGUCCACUCAGUGCUGC
ensembl:antisense Gm15849 predicted gene 15849